UACAGAGGUCUCAAGCGUUGUUCGGAUUCAUUGGGCGUAAAGGGUGCGUAGGUGGCGCCUUAAGUCGGGUGUGAAAUCUCGGGGCUUAACUCCGAAACUGCAUUCGAUACUGUGGUGCUUGAGGACUGGAGAGGAGACUGGAAUUCAUGGUGUAGCAGUGAAAUGCGUAGAGACCAUGAGGAAGACCAGUGGCGAAGGCGGGUCUCUGGACAGUUCCUGACACUGAGGCGCGAAGGCCAGGGGAGCAAACGGG
rnacentral:rRNA from 1 species